GGUCGGGUAGUGAGGGCCUUGGUCAGACGCAGCGGGCGUGCUUGUGGACUGCUUGGUGGGGCUUGCUCUGCUAGGCGGACUACUUGCGUGCCUUGUUGUAGACGGCCUUGGUAGGUCUCUUGUAGACCGUCGCUUGCUACAAUUAACGAUC
rnacentral:misc_RNA from 1 species